AAACGGGACUCCUCUAUCUGACUACAUGGGUGGAAUCAGACUGCACAGAGGAAUUAAAAGACUCAGGAACAACACUGCUGCUUAAAAGAGAAAAAAGAAGAAGGACAACAAAAAUAUCAGAACAUUAAUCAUUCUCAGCAGAGGGAGCUCUGGGAUGCACUUCCAUGCAUAUAUCGCUGUGGAGUGGCAUCUUCAUUUGCUGGCCCAGCUGCUGGUGGGAAGGGCAUGUGUGGGUGAGUAGAAGGUGGAGUUGGAAGGGAAUGUGCAGGGACAAAUGUCAUGUUGAAUGUAAAGUAGAUCAGAAAGUACAUUGGGGGUAUGGAAUAUGGAUUUGGGUGCGUGUAUGUUGGAACACAGGAAUCUGGGAGAAGCAACAGUUGGUGUAUAGAGGAGGAGCGACCACAAACUGGCAGAGUAUGGCAAGGAAAUGUAGGUAUUGCCAGAAAAUGUUGGUGGUGCAUGCAGAGGAGUAUGGAAUUGGCAGGGAGGGGAAUACAGGGUUUAGUAGGGAGAUAGAGGUGGUCUAUAGGGAGAGGAGUCUAGCAAUUAGCAAGGAGGCAGAUAUGGGGAUCAGGGAAGGAAAGUAUGGGGGAAGACAGGAAAACAAGUGUGAGGUAUGCAUUGGGGAGAGAAUGUAUAGGGAAAAGACAGAGAGAUGCGUGUGGGGCAUGCAGGGAUGAAUGGUAAGG